UACGUAGGGUGCAAGCGUUUGUCCGGAAUUAUUGGGCGUAAAGAGCUCGUAGGCGGUUUGUCGCGUCUGCUGUGAAAAUCCAGGGCUUAACCCUGGACCUGCAGUGGGUACGGGCAGACUGGAGUGCGGGUAGGGGGAGAUCGGAAUUCCUGGUGUAGCGGUGGAAUGCGCAGAUAUCAGGAGGAACACCGGUGGCGAAGGCGGAUCUCUGGGCCAUAACUGACGCUGAGGAGCGAAAGCAUGGGGAGCGAACAGG
rnacentral:rRNA from 1 species